UGCAGCUCCUUGCCUUUAAUAGCAUCGCCCCCAUCCCAAAAGCACCCAUUAGUGCUGUAGGGCUGCCAACCCGUCCCGCAUCCUCUUGGCCAUGCCGGGCACCAGACGUAGGUGCUCAUCCCCACAGGCAGCCACGCAGGCAUCGAGCUGGGACCGUGCCCGUGUCUCCCCACCGCCCGCCUCCAGGGCAUCCUUGGCUCUGUCAGAGCAGUGCAGCGUGCAGCGGCUCAGGCGGUCCUGGAAACGUUCCAGCUCGCCGGUGACGAUGGCCUGGGCCUGGGCCAGGGGUGCAUGGCAGCGCUCGAUGCAGCGCUGCACCUGCUGCAUGGAGGCUGCUCUGUCCUCACAGCACCGCGCGCUGCAGUGGAACAUGGUGGCCUGCAUGCCGCGGAUGCUGUCCCGCUCCAGCUCCUGCACAACGCUUUCCACCGCCUCCUGCACGCGGCCCUGCGCGGCCUCCGCCAUGCCGGGCCGGAGGGGGGGGAGA
rnacentral:lncRNA from 1 species